rnacentral:rRNA from 1 species
UGGGGAAUUUUGGACAAUGGGGGAAACCCUGAUCCACCCAUCCCGCGUGUGCGAUGAAGGCCUUCGGGUUGUAAAGCACUUUUGGCAGGAAAGAAACGUCAUGGGUUAAUACCCCGUGAAACUGACGGUACCUGCAGAAUAAGCACCGGCUAACUACGUGCCAGCAGCCGCGGUAAUACGUAGGGUGCAAGCGUUAAUCGGAAUUACUGGGCGUAAAGCGUGCGCAGGCGGUUCGGAAAGAAAGAUGUGAAAUCCCAGAGCUCAACUUUGGAACUGCAUUAUUAACUACCGGGCUAGAGUGUGUCAGAGGGAGGUUGAAUUCCGCGUGUAGCAGUGAAAUGCGUAGAUAUGAGGAGGAACACCGAUGGCGAAGGCAGACUCCUGGGAUAACACUGACGCUCAUGCACGAAAGCGUGGGGAGCAAACAGG